CGGAGGGUUUAACAGAAGGGAGAUUCUAGGAGGUUCUAGGCUCUUCCAUUUGGAAAUGCAUCAGCCCUUCAGAAAUGGGAAAACAGCUCAAGAUGCGCACAUUUUUCUGCCGACUGCCCUGCUGUCUCAGUUGCAGGCUGUCAACACCUCCCCCUGGAUGCGUUCUGGAAUCAGCAAGAUUGCAGAGAUGAGAUCCUGAAUUCCUUCAUAAGUUUAUAUGUUUAUGUAAGUUUACAAAAUCGUAGAAUGUGAAAGGUGGAAAAGACCUGAGAAAUCAACAAGUCUAAAAACCCCACACACCUAAUAAAAUGAUAAUAAUGUU